GAUGAACGCUGACAGAAUGCUUAACACAUGCAAGUCAACUGUGGCGGACGGGUGAGUAACGCGUAAAGAACUUGCCUCACAGAUAGGGACAACAUUUGGAAACGAAUGAUAAUACCUGCUACGGUGAGAGAACUUUGCGUCCCAUUAGCUAGUUGGGGAGGUAACGGCUCACGAAGGCGAUGAUGGGUAGCCGGCCUGAGAGGGUGAUCGGCCACAAGGGGACUGAGACACGGCCCUUACUCCUACGGGAGGCAGCAGUGGGGAAUAUUGGACCAUGGACCAAAGUCUGAUCCAGGAAUUCUGUGUGCAAGAUGAAGUUUUCGGAAUGUAAAGUGCUUUCAGUUGGGAAGCGGUACCUACAGAAGAAGUGACGGCUAAAUACGUGCCAGCCGCCGCGGUAAUAC
rnacentral:rRNA from 1 species